AGGCAAUAGAUACCCGGGUAGUCCACGCCCUAAACGAUGUCUACUAGUUGUUGGUGGAGUAAAAUCCAUGAGUAAACGCAGCUAAACGCGUGAAGUAGACCGCCUGGGGAGUACGGUCGCAAGAUUAAAAACCUCAAAGGAAUUGACGGGGGCCCGCACAAGCGGUGGAUUAUGUGGAUUAAAUUCGAUGCAACGCGAAAAACCCUUACCUGGCCUUGACAUGCCACUAACGAAGCAGAGAUGCAUUAGGUGCCCGUAACGGGAAAGUGGACACAGGUGCUGCAUGGCUGUCGUCAGCUCGUGUCGUGAGAUGUUGGG
rnacentral:rRNA from 1 species